rnacentral:rRNA from 1 species
UACGUAGGGUGCAAGCGUUAAUCGGAAUUACUGGGCGUAAAGCGUGCGCAGGCGGUUUUGUAAGUCUGUCGUGAAAUCCCCGGGCUCAACCUGGGAAUUGCGAUGGAGACUGCAAGGCUAGAAUCUGGCAGAGGGGGGUAGAAUUCCACGUGUGAGCAGUGAAAUGCGUAGAGAUGUGGAGGAACACCGAUGGCGAAGGCAGCCCCCUGGGAUCGAAGAU